rnacentral:rRNA from 3 species
CCUGGUCUUGACAUCCACAGAACUUUCCAGAGAUGGAUUGGUGCCUUCGGGAACUGUGAGACAGGUGCUGCAUGGCUGUCGUCAGCUCGUGUUGUGAAAUGUUGGGUUAAGUCCCGCAACGAGCGCAACCCUUAUCCUUUGUUGCCAGCGGUCCGGCCGGGAACUCAAAGGAGACUGCCAGUGAUAAACUGGAGGAAGGUGGGGAUGACGUCAAGUCAUCAUGGCCCUUACGACCAGGGCUACACACGUGCUACAAUGGCGCAUACAAAGAGAAGCGACCUCGCGAGAGCAAGCGGACCUCAUAAAGUGCGUCGUAGUCCGGAUUGGAGUCUGCAACUCGACUCCAUGAAGUCGGAAUCGCUAGUAAUCGUGGAUCAGAAUGCCACGGUGAAUACGUUCCCGGGCCUUGUACACACCGCCCGUCACACCAUGGGAGUGGGUUGCAAAAGAAGUAGGUAGCUUAACCUUCGGGAGGGCGCUUACCACUUUGUGAUUCAUGACUGGGGUGAAGUCGUAACAAGGUAACCGUAGGGGAACCUGCGGUUGGAUCACCUCCUUACCUUAAAGAA